GACCGUGUGCAGCAUGACUUUGCUCAAGCAGUCCACCAUUCUGUCAUGGCUCUGAAAAACAAGACCAAGACAACAGAAACACAGCAAAAGCCCGAAAGGAAGCCAAAAGAUCAGCAAAGGCAGGAUGGGAUGUGACGCUCUCAAAUGAGGGUGGUGACAAGGAAGACUUUCUCUUCACUUAAAAAAAUCAUCCCGGUGUAAACAUCUGACCAGUGGAGUGGAGGAAAUCGUGUAUCGACAAAAUCCGUGCAGUUCCUCCAACUUCAAAGGUGAACUCCCUUUGGACGCCCCUCGGAGACGUUACGUCACAUUUGUGAUGCAUGAGGAGUCGUUUUCAAGUGGGGGUUCACGCGGGACCACCUACCUACUCCCACAGAAGUAUCCAGAGUGAUGCACACCUUGCAAAGUGGAAAGUGACUUUUCCCUGAGGGACCCAAUAUAACGCUCACACUAAAGCCUCUGACAAUGGAAAGGAUUUGAGGUUGACUGUCAAGUAUAAGUGAAGGCCCAAGUUGGGGUCCGGCCUGCGGGUCAGAUCUCACCAUAGAUGGCAAAGAAGAAUCGAGUAAAGCAAAUAAGUCCUUCUGGGAGUUUCCUGGCUCAGGUAGAAGCUGUGGCUUCUGCGGGAAAUCCACACGGGCACUUGUAAAAUACAACAUUCCCAAAGCCAAAUCUUAGACGAAAACGGCCCUGCUCAGGCCCUCUUCACACCGAACAUCCGGUAACACCUGACAAGAAGGAAUGCUUUGAUUCAUUUUCAAGUUCACUAGAGUAUGGCAGCCAUUUGUGUAGACUGCACAAGUGUCAUAAAAUUACCCUCACACAAUCAUUCCUUGUGAGUUAGUCGUGAUAACUGCCACUUUGCACAGUCGAAAUAAAUUGAACAGCUAAUUUCCAGUGCACGCUCGCUUUGGCCCUUCAACAGUCAUAUACUAUCCUAAAAUGUUCAUCAGGACACUCAGUAAGGCAGAUAAACAUGUCAUACAAUUACUAUUAUGUGACUGUCCUUCAUCUGUAAAGCAUAUUAACCACCGAUUUGCCUAACAUAAAUCCACAGAACAACCGUGAGAAAUGAUUCCCACUCCAAAAACGUGCACAUUACAUUUGGUCUGGUAUGUACACCCUUUACGCAAUUUAUUAGAAGUUUCAUUGUAAGGUUAUCAUAAGAACCUACGCCAUUUACAAUAGAAAUUAACAGGACAACUAGUAGACAUAAUUCCCCAAAAAUCCACAGCAUUCUCUAUCAGGUGUUAUACUAUUACUGUUAUGCAAUUGUCUUUUGACAUUUAAUCAUGUUUACCACAUGAACAUAACUAACCUGGAGUGCAAAAAAGUUACUGGCACACUUAUAAACAUACGUAUGUGUCAUAGGGCAAAUCCUUCGCUGUCACUUAUUCAUGAUCACGAGAAAUUUACCAAAUUUUGCCCAUCUGUCCUUCGUCAUUGAUCUGGGCAAACCGUCUGUCACCAUUAUUCAUGAUGUAAUCAUCCAUUCGUCCGUCUGGCUUUGGUAUUUCGAAAGCAUUUCUGUAACCAGUCAGUUUAUCUGUCCUAAAAUUAAAGUAAAAGGAAAGAAAAGUUAUGGUCAAACAGAUAAGAAAUCAUAUUUGAUUAAAAUGGUGGAGUACAUAAAUAAACACAAUAACGAGUAGAAAUAAUUCAAAGGCCACAAACCCUACAGCGAGAACAGUCUGGCAUACACGCCUGUCACUCGAUUAUUGUAACAUGUUCAACUGUCAACGGAUUCAAAUUAACGUCCAUCAUGCACAACAGAAUUUAACAGUGAGAAAAAAAAGGUCCAUCAUAUGCGUGGUCAGGCAUGUGUACACCUCAUAAAAUUACUGUAAGUUACUCAUUUCUUGCAAGUUAUUCAUGAUAACUGAAAAAAAAAGAAAACAAGUCCAUCUUACGCGUCAGGCAUGUGGACACCUCAUACAAUUACUUUAAGUCAUUCAUUCUUUGUUAUGCAUAACUGCCACCUUGAAUAAUAGAUAUUACCAGAACAACUAGUAAAAUUGUCCACAGU